AUCUAUGGCCGUAACACUCUGAGCAUGCCCAGUCUCAUCUGAUCUCAGAAGCAAAGCAGGGCUGGGCCUCCUUAGUAGUUGGAUGGGAGAAAGCAGUGGUCUCUAUCUCUC
ensembl:rRNA 5S_rRNA 5S ribosomal RNA